rnacentral:rRNA from 1 species
UGAGGAAUAUUGGUCAAUGGGCGUAAGCCUGAACCAGCCAAGUCGCGUGAAGGAUGAAGGUUCUAUGGAUUGUAAACUUCUUUUAUGGGGGAAUAAAGUGCGGGACGCGUCCUGUUUUGUAUGUACCUCAUGAAUAAGCAUCGGCUAACUCCGUGCCAGCAGCCGCGGUAAUACGGAGGAUGCGAGCGUUAUCCGGAUCUAUUGGGUUUAAAGGGUGCGUAGGCGGUUUGUCAAGUCAGCGGUCAAACUGCGGGGCUUAACCUCGUAUUGCCGUUGAAACUGGCUGACUAGCGUGGCGUCGAGGUGUGCGGAAUGCGUUGUGUAGCGGUGAAAUGCAUAGAUAUGACGCAGAACUCCGAUUGCGAAGGCAGCACACCGGGCGCCUACGGACGCUGAGGCACGAAAGCGUGGGUAUCGAACAGGAUUAGAUACCCUGGUAGU